UUAACUUUGUAUCAGUAGCCAUUUGACCUGCUACUUU
rnacentral:sRNA from 1 species